UGUGCACCCCGGAGGACGCGGCGCCGGCCCACCGCGGCCGGGCUGACCUGCCCGCCUCCUGCCCGCGCCCCGCCGGAUCGCCCCGGCCGGACCCCAUAGGCCGCCCCCGCCGCCCCGGGGACCCGCCGGAGCUCCGGGACGCGGCGGCACCCGGGCCACCCAAGGGCAGGGCCGGGAAGGCGCCCCUGGCGGGGAUGGAUUGGCCGUCGCCGCCGCCGGAUCCGCUCGGCACGGCCACCUCCCCCGGGGCCCUCGGGCGCGCCCGCCCCGGCGAGGCCGACACAAAGGGGCCGCGCGUCACCCACCUGAUCCCGCGCGUCCGGGGCCCGAGGGGUGGGGGCCGCCGCUCCUGCUCGGCCGCGGGCGGGGCUCCGAGCACCGAGGUCCGCGGUCCGAGGCUGGCUGUCCGCGCCGCCCCGCGCGGAGCCGCCCUUUAUUCCCGCCCGCCCUCCAGCCGGGGCGCGCGGCCCGCGGGGGGAGACUGGGCGGCGGCGCCGCGCGGCACAAAGACGCGGGGCGCACGGGCUCGGCCCCCGCCCCGCCCGGCGCGCAGCGCCCCCUGCCGCCCGCGCGAGGCCCGCGGGGACCCAGGCUCCGCCAGGACCUCCCGGACCCCAAGCUGCCCGGAGGAACGCCGCGGCCUCGGUUAGGUGGCAGCCAGAAGACGAGGGCCCUGAUGUCGACGCUCGGGGGCACAAAGACCGGCAAGCUGGGAGAGGAAUGGGGGACCCAAAACAGUCUUAGCGCGGCGAUAGAAAGAGAACCGGCCGGGCCGCUUCGGACCAGAUCCGGGCUCCCGGAACCCGGGCUCCAUGCCCUGGCGGUGGGGACCGUGCCUAAAGGCUGAGGGCCUUUCUAAGCUAGCAUCUCAUCAACGCGCCAAAGGUCUUUGCCUCCCCGUACCUGACGUGCUGGACGGAUGGAGCCCCAGGCUCGUCUGGUCCUUCGGCUCUGUGGAUUCCCGAGUUCCAGUUCUGGGCUGUUGACUUCCUCUGCCUUACGGUUUCGAGCUUGUUAGAGCCAAAGGUAUUUGAAGGUAUAAUUUUCCUGUAAGAUUUCUCCUUGCCACUCCCCCUAAUAACUAGAAGUUACACAGGUAUUUAAUUCUGUCUCCAGCAUGCGUACCUGAACAAGAUGGGUAUGAAAGAAUGCCCCCUUCAAUACAUAGAUUCUUCUCCCGAAGUAUGGGAAAACCCACCCUCACCGCUUUCGUCCUUAACACCACACCCUCCAGUGUUGACUCUGCAGUCUAGUACCAUCACCUAAUGGGUCCAGUGACCUUAACUGAGCAAGUUAGUUAACUUCUUUGUGUUUUGAUUUUCUUAUCUGAAAACUACUAAUGGUCAUAGAGGUCAUAGAGAUCUUGUCAGGGAUUAAAUAAGGAAAAUAAGCAAAGAGCAAUCUCAACAUAACUGGAAAAUUUUAAGGAUUUCAUAAUCCUUAGCUGUAUUUUGUCUCAUUUCCCCCCAAACUACAAUACUAGCUAUCGUGACACUGCAUAAUUUAUCUUCCCCUACUACAUACACAUCUUUAAAAAUAAUAAUAAUAAUAAAUCUGUCUCAUCUACACUGAGAAGUUAUUCUGGUAACUUCUUAAAUAUGAAUUCCUCCCAAAUAUGAAUGAGCGCUUCUGAUGUCUCUGUCAAAUUCUUUGUAUAAAUGUCAUCAUUCAAGAAAGAAGGCACAAUGGGAAGAAUUCUAACGACACUUGGUUACCCCAGCCUCUCACCAGAAGAUGAAAAUGGUUCUGCAUAAAGGCCUGAGCUUCACAGAAAAUAUAUUCGGCCCUUCUGUACAGGGGUUGUGGAGCCAGGAAAGCACUGUGCGAUACUGCUUAUGAAUGAAGGGAUGGAUGGAUGAGAGCAAGUAUCCGGGGAAGUGAUGAAUGUGUCCACACGGAUGCAGAUGCUUCUGUAGAUUACCAGGGGCGUGGGAAUCAAGCCUGGGGGAGGGGGAAGGGGGGAGGUUGGCAAGGAGAGGGUUGAUGUACAAAACCAACCUCUUAUCCAGUUGUGUCAUUGAGCCUUUGUGUCUCUUGCAAGUGCUUAAGCAGUGAUGUGACUGUGUGUGACUGUGUGUGUGAGGUCAUUCCCAUGUUUGUUUGUCUUUGUUAACCUGCUUGUUGUUGGGGCGACGGGGAAAGACGACAUCAUCAUUGAUAACACAGUUUGCAGCAGGCCAUGCCCUGAAUUUCAUGUCUCAAGACUUUUCUCUAUGAAGUCUUCCUAACCCAUCACUGCUCCCCAUCUCCAGAUGUCUGGAGUUGUGUAAAUAGUUCAUUUGUCUCCAUGGCAUCUGUUAGACUUCAUGUUUUGGAUAUUUACUGUCUGAUUAUUAGGUCAUAAGAGUCUGUAGAUGAGAAAUGAAGUAAAUUUUCUAUUGAGUUUCCAGAGGGUCUUGGGCAUAGUAAGUGCUCAGUAAAUGUAGAUGAGUCCUCUGCCCUGAGCUGUGUCCUUCCUAGUUCUCUCCAAUGAGCUGCCUGCAUCUCUCAAGGUCACAUCCACCCAUCACUGAUUGAUUUUCAGUCCAUUCCUCUCAUGGCUGUCAACCGUCUCACCCAGACGUUUGUUGUGUCAAGCUCAUUUUUAAAAAUACCCACUGUUGCUAAGCGCUUGUGCCUGUAGGCAACAUGACUCAUCGUUCUGAAGAAGCCCCUUGUUGAUUAUCUACUGAGGGCAAGGUUUUGUGCUAGGUUGUUGCCAGGGAAUCAAUGCCCCAGCAAAUGGUCCAGAGGCUGGAGAAAUGGAAGUCCAUCAGGAAGUUCCUUCUCUAGCUACAAAACUGAGUGAAGAUCAAGAUUCAUUCGGUGGCUUAAGUUUAAACCUUUUCAGGCAGUGGAGUUUGCAUGGGUUCAUAAUCACACAUUCUGAAAGUCCAAAACAUUCACAUUUCUUUAAUUUUUAAAAUUGCCUUAAAUUCAGUUCCUUAUUUCUGGAGAGAAGCAGGCAAUUAAAUGUCAACUAUUGCUCUGAUUGUCUCUCCCUGGAGGCCCACAGGUCCCUGGGGGUUUUACGGUGUUGGGAUCCAGGGUGUAACCCUUCAUGCUCAGCCCAUCUCCCUAUAUAUCUAGCAGCUCCUUCCCUGAGUCCUGGGUCCCUUCCAAGCAGGCUACGCUCAGUUUCUCUUCCAGGGGCCCAGCUUCCCAGGUGGGCUAGAAAGCUGCAAGUUUCCUCACCUCUCAGAGUGAUGCAAAGUCUCUGCUGCUCUCAGGGACUCUUGGGAAAGCUUUUCUUGUCCAACCCCUGCCUCCAUUCCCACAAACACCUCCCCUCUUUCUUUCCCAGCCUUGUUGUUGUUCAGUUGCUAAGUCGAGUCUGACUCUUUGUGAUUCUAUGGACUGCAGCAUGCCAGGUUUCCCUGUCCUUCACUGUCUCCCGAAGUCUGCUGUAACAUAUCCAUUGAGUCGGUGAUGCCAUCCAACAAUCUCAUCCUCCACUGCCCCCUUCUCCUCCUGCCCUCAGCCUUUCAUAGGACUUCGCUGGUGGGCUCAGAUGGUAAAGAAUCUGCCCACAAUUCUUAAGGAAGAAAAAAUAAAAUUUAGGAAAGAUAACACAUGGAAAGGGGGAAAUUCAUCCUUAUAAACACGUAGAAAGAGCGCUGCUAGGGGUGAAUUGGGCUUCCCUCAUAGCUCAUUCAGUAAAGAAUCCACCUGCAGUGCAUGAGACCCUGGUUCAAUUCCUAGGUUGGGAAGAUCCCCUGGAGAAGGGAUAGGCUACCCACUCCAGUAUUCUUGGGCUUCCCUGGUGGCUCAGCUGGUUCUUUACCAACUCAGCUAUGAGGGAAGCCCUAAGUCAUGUCCAACUCUUUACGACCCCAUGGACUGUAGCCCACCAGGUUCCUCUGUCCAUGGGGAUUCUCCAGGCAAGAAUACUGGAGUGGGUUGCCAUUUCCUCCUCCAGGGGAUCUUCCCCACCCAGGGAUCAAACCUACGUCUCCUGCGUUGAUAGGCAGCUUCUGGACCCACUGAGCUGUCGAGUCACAGUCACUCUCCUGGGUCUUAGGGAAAGUCAAAACGCAGUGUCAGGGAAGGAAAGUAAGUCAUCAAGUCUUAGAUGAACCUCUGUUUGAAGCAAAUGGCCAGCUGUCGGUGAACAUGAAAACCUGAAAGGAACUGAGGAUCAGAGAGGCAGAAGGCAACAUUAGGAGGAGCUCCUUUAUCUGGGGUGUGACCAUGUGCUGUAACGUCUUUUUUUUUGUUGUGUAAGUCACUCAGUUGUGUCCACAUGUCCAUUCUGUUUGUGACCCCAUGGACUAUACAGUCCAUUGAAUUCUCCAGGCCAGAAUACUGGAGUGGGUAGCCUUUCCCUUCUCCAGGGGAUCUUCCCAACCCAGGGAUUGAACCCAGGUCUCCUGCAUGGCAGGCAGAUUCUUUGCCAGCUGAACCACCAGGAAAGCCAUCUGUAAAGUCUUACAGGUCAUUAAAAUAUAGGCUGAGGGUGCACGGAAUGGCUGCUCCGCCCUCUACUCCCCACUCUCCCUGGGAACCCCUUGGAGAGCAUCCUGCCAGCAAACACCAGGUGUCAGAUCUGCUUCCCUGGGGGGCUGACCCCUGGACACAGGGCCGUGCGGGAGGAGCCCAGCACAGCCACACCGACGGAGCCAGGGCUCAUCAGGAGGUUCAUCUGGUUUGGUGAGGACUGGAAAUGAGGGUGGAAGUGGGUCCCGGGAGCCAGGAUCCACGGGGCCUUGGGUACCACCUGUGGAUGGACAGUUCUGGGGAACCUGGGAGUAAGAAUAGAACUGGUGGGAGGUGGGAAGGCCCCUAUGGUGGAGGGUGAUUGCCAGGGCGCCCAGUCAUGUGAUUGGAGCGUUAGAACUUUCAGUCCCAACCUCAGACCUCCAGAAGGGGCAGUACAAUCACCAGUGACCAGUAAUGUCACUGGUGAGAGACCUUUGGAGACUUUUGUUUGUUUGCUUCUAAGAACCAUUUCGGAGAAGGCAAUGGCAACCCACUCCAGUACUCUUGCCUGGAAAAUCCCAUGGACAGAGGGGCCUGGUAGGCUGCAGUCCAUGGGGUCGUGGGGUCGCACAGAGUCGGACAUGACCGAGGGACUUCACUUUCACUUUUCACUUUCAUGCACUGGAGAAGGAAAUGGAAACCCACUCCAGUGUUCUUGCCUGGAGAAUCCCAGGGACGGAGAGCCUGGUGAGCUGCUGUCUAUGGGGUCGCACAGAGUCGGACACGACUGAAGCGACUUAGCAGCAGCAGCAGCAAGAACCAUUUGACUUCUUUGUGCGUGCAUGCUUAGUCGCUCAGUCGUGCCUGACUCUUUGUGACCCCAUGGACUCUCUGUAGCCCACCAGGCUCUUCUGUCCAUGGGAUUCUCCAGGCAAGGAUACUGGAGUGGGUUGUCUUGCCCUCCUCUCCAGGGGAUCUUCCCGACCCAGGAUCAAACCCAUGUUUCCUGCAUUGGCAGGUGGGUUCUUUACCACUGUGCAUCCUGAAAAGCCCUGACCUCCUCGUAUUUAACUCUUACUCUGCUAUGAUUUUUAAAGCUACUUUAUUUUAAGGAGCUUAUUCAAUCCCGUGAAGUGCUCUAUCCCUGGACAGUCUGGGGUCCUCUUCUAAUAUUUUGGAACUCGGUUCCCGGCUGUUGCUUUGGUGUCUCCUCCAUGACUCCGUCUGGAUCAGGGUGGGUGCCUGACCUGAGCUCUCAAACUCCCCGCACUCUCCAUGUCUGUGGCCCUGGCACCAGGACUGAUCGCCAAGUUAGGAUGGAAGAACUCAGCUUCCUUCUCCCUCUUCUGCCCUCUGGCAUGUGUAUGAAGAUCUGUAUCAAUUCUCUAUCUCCCCUUUUCCUUCCUCUCCCAUGUCAUAUGUGUUGAUGAAUGUUAGAUAUCAGGCUGUAUUUCUGAGAAUCUCGUGUUAUCACAGGAUCUCGGGGUAAGGCCUUGUCUCAUUUCCCCGAAAGAAGACACACAAUCACAACAUCUUAUCAAGAGAAGGUGCCACAGACUCCAGCAAACAAGCACACACCAACCGAGCAAAACCCAAAGAUGCAGAGUCGGGGUCUCCUGGGAGUGGAGAGGCAUGGGGAGCAGCCCCUCUCAGAGCCUGGAGCCCUGGGCACCCUCCCCAGUGUUACUGACUGGCAGUCUCUCUGCCACGUGAGGGCAGGCCAGCAGGAACUCAUUACCUGGAGCUGGCUCAGCUGUCACCUUGAUCUUGGGCUUCCAGCCUUCAGAAAUGAAUGCCUGUUGUUUGCGGGGCCCCCAGUCAGUGGUGAAUUAAUAAGGCCACCAGAGCUGACAUGCCACAGGUCAGGGCGGUGCAGACAAGACUGCAGUCAAGUGACAUCUGAGUUAUGCUGGAAGGAGUGACAAGGUGUAUUUUUUACCUUGUAAAAAUACACAGCUCCCCCUUCACGCACACACAUACACACACACACACACACACACACACACACAUGUCUUGUAACAUCUUAUGGGAAGGAGUUCUAGCAAAGUUCACUACAAAGCAAACCCCAAGAAAGAAUUGACUAGUAGAGGCCAGUCUACUCAGACACAGAACAAAUGGGGAUUCAAGGUGAGAUAUUAUGCUUUAUCAAUUCAGUUCAAUCUUUCAGUCAUGUCUGACUCUUUGCAACCCCAUGGACUGCAGCAUGCCAGGCCUCCCUGUCCAUCACCAACUCCUGGAGCUUGCUCAAACUCAUGUCCAUCAAGUCAGUGAUGCCAUCCAACCAUCUUAUCCUCUGUCAUCCCCGUCUCCUCCUGCCUUCAAUCUUUCCCAGCAUCAGGGUCUUUUCUAAUGAGUCAGCUCUUCACAUCAGGUAGCCAAAGUAUUGGAGCUUCAGCUUCAGCAUCAGUCCUUCCAAUGAAUAUUCAGGACUGAUUUCCUUUAGGAUGGACUGGUUGGAUCUCCUUGCUGUCCAAGGGACUCUCAAAGAGUCUUCUCCAACACCACAGUUCAAAAGCAUCAAUUCUCUGGCACUCUUAUAAGAAAUGAUUAUUUGGUCUUCACCCUCCUUCCUAGUACAGAGCUCCAAAAACCCAUGGAAUUUCCUAAGUGAUGAUGGUACUGCCCUGGGUUCCAAGAUUCUAGUCGAUAAAAAUUGCUGAGAGGCCAGAUGAGGAAUUCAGGUGGGGCUUUACGGGGACUCAUGCUGCAGCAGGAGGGAGUGAAGACAAGUAACAAGUUCCCUCGUUCACUCCCCAAAGGGGAUGAGCUGGUCUCUUAAAUAGGAUGAGGAUGGGGGCAGACGGGUGGGUCAGGAAGGAGGGGGUGGCUUGGAUGGGCAGUGCACCCCUUGGGGGUGCUGCCUGCAGGGGUCACGCACAGGACACUCCUGUUUUCUCCCAGCUACGGAAGCAGCAGCUGGACUUUGGCCUUUGUGUAUUGUGUCCGUCGUUUGCCCCAGUUGUGCAAGUCACAGUUGCUUUUAGCCCCUUCUAGUUUCUUCACAUCCUGUUGCCCUAGGAGACAUUGGUCCGAGUGCAAGCCCUCCAGGAGGGGGACAAAGGGUUCCUGGUCCCAGGUCCCAGCCUCUCUCAGUGACAUGAAUACAGAGGUCUUUUACUAUGAUACAAAGCAGACUUUGGGCAGGCUCUAGGCCACCUAUGGUGGAGGGUGAUUGCCAGGGCAUGAGAUUGGAGCGUUAGAACUUUCAGUCCCAACCUCAGACCUCCAGAAGGGGGAGUGCAAUCACCAGUGACCAGUGAUGUCAUGCUACAGAAUGAGUCCUCCAUAAAACCCAAAGGGACCAGGUUCAAAGUGCCUCUGGGUUGGUGAACAGGUGCAGAUUCAGAGUGACUGGUGCCCCUCCACAGGGCAUGAAUGCUUUGUACCCUUCCCCCACACCUCGCCCUCUGCAAUUCUUUCUUCCAGCGGCUAUUCCUAAACUGCAUCCUUUCAUAAUAAACAGGUAACCUAGUAAGUACGGUGUUUCUCUGAGUUCUGUGAGCUCAUCUAGCAGAUUAAUCCAACCCUAGGAGGGAGUUCUUGGACCCUUCGACAUAGCUGGUCAGUCAGUGAGAAGCACAGAUGAUAACCUGCAGUUGUGAUGGGCAUCUGUACUGGGGAUGGGGAAGUAAGGUGCCCUCUGGUGGUACUGAGCCCCUAACCCAUAGGAUCUGAUGCUGGGUGUGUGCUGUGCUAUCGUAUCUGACUCUUUACUACCCCAUGGACUGUAGCCCACCAGGCUCCUCUGUCCGUUGGAUUCUCCAGGCAGAAAUACUGGAGUGGGUUGCAAUGCUUUCCUCCAGGGGAUCUUCCUGACCCAGGAAUUGAACCUGAGUCUCUUAUAUCUCUUGUAUUGGCAGGCGAGUUCUUUACCACUAGUGCCACUUGGGUCUGAUGCUACCUCCAAGUAAAGAGUGUCAGAACUGAGCUGAAGCAGAAGGGCUGCUGUCUAUGGGGUCACACAGAGUCGGACAUGACUGAAGUGACUUAGCAGCAGCAGCAGCAGCAGGACAUCACGCUGAUAUGGGAAAAUUGCUUGCUGGGGUGGAAAAAACUCACACAUGGGAAUUGAGGGUAGAAUCAGACAAGGACAAGCCGAGAUGGCCCGGAUUAAAAUAAUAAAUCACUUUUUUGUUCAUUUCCCCAGAUCCUCCAGGAAUGAGUUUGCCCAGAGAACUUUUGUUUUUAUUAUUAUAUGUAUAUUUUCUAGAUAAAGUGAAUUCCCAGAACACGAGUUGUACUCACAUUCGUAAUCAAAUUUGUAAACAAUUCAAAACCCAAAUCUGGUGUGUUUUUUUUUUUCCAAAUUAACUGAGGCUUUUAGGAUACCAUUGAAUCUCUUCUCAUCUUUUCAUGUGAAUUGUCAAGAACUGGCUGUUCUCAUUAAAGUAUAAGAAUGCCCGUUGGUUUUAAAAUCCUUCAGAAGCUAUGUGGAAAAUAAAAUUGAGUAAGAACUCAAUUCUAUUAAAAAUAUGCACUCCUGGAAAUAUGCAUGAAAUGAACUAGCAGUUGCCUCUGGGCCACUGUAAUUAUGGGUAAUUUUUAUUUUCUUCAUUUUGCUGUGUUCUGUUUCUCAAAUAUUCUCCAAAUGCUUAUUUGUCUUAGAAUCAUGGGGGGAGCAUGUGGUUAAAAAGCCUUUCUCAUCUUUCAAACCCAACUCAAUGGCAUCUGAGUUGAACUUGCUAUGUGGGCUUUCUGUGGAAUUUCCCAUUCUUUGCCACUGACUGGAACAGCAGACGCCAGCAGAGACUUGACGCUGGGUUAUGCACCCCAGACAUGGCUGCCUGUGUCCCGGCCACAAGGCUAGACAACCUGGGCUGCCUUCUGAGUCCCCUUCACUGUCCUCAAGCCCCUGGAUCUGAUCCCUGUCCUGGGGGCUAGAGCCCAGGGUUGGCCUGACUAGUCCAGUGUGGGCAAAAAUAAUGAGGCCAUAUCCUUCCUGAAGAAGUGAGUAAAGUGAAAGUAAAGUCAUUCAGUCGUGUCCAACUCUUUGCAACCCCAUGGACUGUAGCCUACGAAGCUCCUCUGUCCAUGGAAUUUUCCAGGCAAGAGUACUGGAGUGAGUUGCCAUUUCCUUCUCCAGAGGAUCUUCCCCACCCAGGGAUCGAACCCAGGUCUCCCACAUUGCAAGAAGACACCUUUACCAUCUGAGCCACCAGGGAAGCUCAGGAAGUGAGUAUUUACAACUGAAGAUUAAAUGCAAUGAAAUGUCUGAGAAAAUGCCCCAUGUCCAAGAAGGGCCAGUCUGAGUCUGGAGGGUAUGGGGUGGGCAUUGGAGCUGGGGUUGUAGAACUCUUGACUCCAAGGGCUGGGAAAGGCAGGCCUGGCCUGAGGCAU
ensembl:lncRNA